rnacentral:rRNA from 1 species
GACGAACGCUGGCGGCGUGCUUAACACAUGCAAGUCGAACGGAAAGGCCCUGCCUUUGUGGGGUGCUCGGGUGGCGAACGGGUGAGUAACACGUGAGUAACCUGCCCUUGACUUUGGGAUAACUUCAGGAAACUGGAGCUAAUACCGGCUAGGAGCUCCUGCUGCUUGGUGGUGGUUGGAAAGUUUCGGCGGUUGGGGAUGGACUCGCGGCUUAUUAGCUUGUUGGUGGGGUAGUGGCUUACCAAGGCUUUGACGGGUAGCCGGCCUGAGAGGGUGGCCGGCCACAUUGGGACUGAGAUGCGGCCCAGACUCCUACGGGAGGCAGGGGUGGGGAAUAUUGCACAAUGGGCGGAAGCCUGAUGCGGCGACGCCGCGUGCGGGAUGACGGCCAUCGGGUUGUAACGCGCUGUCGCCUGUGACGAAGCGAGAGUGACGGUAAUGGGUAAAGAAGCACCGGCUAACUACGUG